rnacentral:rRNA from 1 species
CCUACGGGUGGCAGCAGUGAGGAAUAUUGGUCAAUGGACGAGAGUCUGAACCAGCCAAGUAGCGUGAAGGAUGACUGCCCUAUGGGUUGUAAACCUCUUUUAUAAAGGAAUAAAACGAGGCACGUGUGCCCUUUUGCAUGUACUUUAUGAAUAAGGAUCGGCUAACUCCGUGCCAGCAGCCGCGGUAAUACGGAGGAUCCGAGCGUUAUCCGGAUUUAUUGGGUUUAAAGGGAGCGUAGAUGGGUUGUUAAGUCAGUUGUGAAAGUUUGCGGCUCAACCGUAAAAUUGCAAUUGAUACGGGCAGUCUUGAGUACAGUUGAUGUAGGCGGAAUUCGUGGUGUAGCGGUGAAAUGCUUAGAUAUCACGAAGAACCCCGAGUGCGAAGGCAGCUUACUAAACUGUGACUGACAUUGAUGCUCGAAAGUGUGGGUAUCAAACAGGAGUAGAUACCCCAGUAGUC